rnacentral:misc_RNA from 1 species
GAAGAAGAAGAAGAAGAAGCUGGAGAGAGAAGUAAAGAGGAGGGGCGGUUGCUUUCCAGCGGCGUUUGUUUGUGCAGAAAGAAAGCGAUGGAAGAAACCGAAGGAAGAAUUACUUAGGGUUUGGCUCUGGUGGUGAAGGAAGCAGACGGAAAGGGAAGCAAAGAAAAAGGAGCAGAGAGAAGAGAAGAGAAGGGAGAGGAAAUUCCGGCGAAGAUAAGGAAGAGAGCACGUGUGAUGAUGAAAUAUAACAUAAUAUUUAAUUUUAAUUGUAAAAAAAAAAGAGAGAGAUGGCGUGGUAAGAAGCCACGUGCCGGAUGUAAUAAAUAAAGAUAAAAUAAUAUUUUCUUUGAAAUAAUAACGGCUGUGAUUUAGCUUUAUAAGGAAAGUUCCGCCAUGGCCAGUUAUUGCUGGAGAAGGACACUUCCAUGGAUACCUUCUCUCCCUGGUUGCAAACUUUUAACAGAAGGCAGUAGGACUCCCCAUGUGCGACCUAGUUCACGAGGAAUCAAACCAAUGGGAUAAGGCAAUUCUUUCCCCCCACUCCCCACGAGAACACUGGGCUAUCCUAAAGAUACCUUUUACAGGAAGAGAAUUUAUUAAUUGG